CCUUGCUGACCUGGGUGAUGGCCUUCUCCCCGCGGCUCUCGGCCCUCUGGCUGGCGGCGCGCAGCUGGCAGCCGCUCGGGGGACUGUUCUAAGAACUUAUAAGAGUUAAGAAAAAAAAUUAUCUUCAAACAUCAUUACCUCUGGAAAGCUCUUCCUGACCCACAAACUAGGUUGGGUUCAUGUGCUACAAGCUCUCACAGGACCAUGUUUCCUUCAUUAGGGCAUUUAUAUCAGUGUGGAAAUGGAUGUGGACGCGGUGCUGCUGCCUGAGAUUAGCAGGAAGCAAUUCUUUUCCCAUUUGGAGAGACCCCGGCUUUGUUGGGCCAGGAGAUGGUUUUGCAGCAGCAGAAGACUAUGAACUGGGCUUUGGGAGAUAGGAUCUCUGGUUGUAUUCUGGCUAUCCACACUCUGAAAGAGGACCGUGACAGAGAAUUUGAGUAUCCUACCAAUAUACCUACAAAAGGAUGAAAGAAGAUUUGGAGUCAAGGGAAAACAAGGGCAAUAAAAUAGAAGCUUACCACCUGCUCUCAUACAGUUGCUAGAAGAGGACUGCAUAUUUGGUUCUAAGUUUCUGGAAGAUAAAGCCAAAAUAGAAACACAACUCAUUAUAAAAUUUUGGUGUAUCCAUAAAAUAAAAACAAAUGACCUGUUUGAGAAAACUCUUUCUGAGUUUGAGCUCUAAAAGGAACUUCUCUAUGGAAUCCUUAGAAUAUGAGAAGGCUGUGAUAUAGGGGAGAAACCCCUUGACAUUCCUAUAUUGGGUUUAGGUCUAAUUUCACUCAGUAGUUUUUAAAUGUUACUCCUUGUAGACAGAUGAUGAGACGCCAAAGUACAGCUGAGUGAAAGCGGUUCCUUUGAAAACUAAAGGCUGUAAAAACAAGGCUGUGGAUCAUGUUGUUUCAGUUCUUUAUAGAUUUUUUAAACUGAAUUUUGCAUCUGUGUACAUGAAGAAUAAAUUGUAGAAUAUCUAAGGAA
rnacentral:lncRNA from 1 species